rnacentral:rRNA from 1 species
UUCGGGGGACAGGGUGACAGGUGGUGCAUGGUUGUCGUCAGCUCGUGUCGUGAGAUGUUGGGUUAAGUCCCGCAACGAGCGCAACCCUCGACCUUAGUUGCCAGCAUUCAGUUGGGCACUCUAAGGUGACUGCCGGCUAAAAGUCGGAGGAAGGUGGGGAUGACGUCAAAUCAUCAUGCCCCUUAUGACCUGGGCUACACACGUGCUACAAUGGGCGGUACAAAGGGUCGCGAACCCGCGAGGGGGAGCCAAUCCCAAAAAGCCGCUCUCAGUUCGGAUUGCAGGCUGCAACUCGCCUGCAUGAAGCCGGAAUCGCUAGUAAUCGCGGAUCAGCAUGCCGCGGUGAAUUACCGGUUCCCGGGCCUU